rnacentral:rRNA from 1 species
GACGAACGCUGGCGGCGUGCCUAAUACAUGCAAGUCGAACGCACUCUCGUUUAGAUUGCCGGAGUUUGCUCCUGAUUGAUCAACAUUUGAGUGAGUGGCGGACGGGUGAGUAACACGUGGGUAACCUGCCCUAAAGUGGGGGAUAACAUUUGGAAACAGAUGCUAAUACCGCAUAAAACCUAACACCGCAUGGUGUAGGGUUGAAAGAUGGUUUCGGCUAUCACUUUAGGAUGGACCCGCGGUGCAUUAGUUAGUUGGUGAGGUAAAGGCUCACCAAGACCGUGAUGCAUAGCCGACCUGAGAGGGUAAUCGGCCACACUGGGACUGAGACACGGCCCAGACUCCUACGGGAGGCAGCAGUAGGGAAUCUUCCACAAUGGACGAAAGUCUGAUGGAGCAACGCCGCGUGAGUGAAGAAGGUUUUCGGAUCGUAAAACUCUGUUGUUGGAGAAGAAUGUAUCUGAUAGUAACUGAUCAGGUAGUGACGGUAUCCAACCAGAAAGCCACGGCUAACUACGUG